CAGGAGUAGCUUGCUAUUUGCUGACGACCGGCGCACGGGUGCGUAACGCGUAUAGAAUCUACCUUAUACUGGGGGAUAGCCUUUGGAAACGAAGAUUAAUACCCCAUAGUAUUAUUUUUUGGCAUCAUUAAAUAAUUAAAGUUUCGGCGGUAUAAGAUGACUAUGCGUUCUAUUAGUUAGUUGGUAAGGUAACGGCUUACCAAGACUUCGAUAGAUAGGGGUCCUGAGAGGGAGAUCCCCCACACUGGUACUGAGACACGGACCAGACUACUACGGGAGGCAGCAGUGAGGAAUAUUGGACAAUGGAGGCAACUCUGAUCCAGCCAUGCCGCGUGUAGGAAGACUGCCCUAUGGGUUGUAAACUACUUUUAUAUGGGAAGAAUAAGGUCUACGUGUAGAUCGAUGACGGUACCAUAAGAAUAAGCACCGGCUAACUCCGUGCCAGCAGCCGCGGUAAUACGGAGGGUGCAAGCGUUAUCCGGAAUCAUUGGGUUUAAAGGGUCCGUAGGCGGGCAUAUAAGUCAGUGGUGAAAGUCUGUGGCUUAACCAUAGAAUUGCCAUUGAUACUGUAUGUCUUGAAUUAUUGUGAAGUGGUUAGAAUAUGUAGUGUAGCGGUGAAAUGCUUAGAGAUUACAUAGAAUACCGAUUGCGAAGGCAGAUCACUAACAAUAUAUUGACGCUGAUGGACGAAAGCGUAGGUAGCGAACAGGAUUAGAUACCCUGGUAGUCUACGCCGUAAACGAUGGAUACUAGUUGUUUGGUUUUUGGACUGAGUGACUAAGCGAAAGUGAUAAGUAUCCCACCUGGGGAGUACGUUCGCAAGAAUGAAACUCAAAGGAAUUGACGGGGGCCCGCACAAGCGGUGGAGCAUGUGGUUUAAUUCGAUGAUACGCGAGGAACCUUACCAGGGCUUAAAUGUAGUCUGACAGCUUUAGAGAUAGAGUUUUCUUCGGACAGAUUACAAGGUGCUGCAUGGUUGUCGUCAGCUCGUGCCGUGAGGUGUCAGGUUAAGUCCUAUAACGAGCGCAACCCCUGUGGUUAGUUGCCAGCGANUAAUGUCGGGAACUCUAGCCAGACUGCCGGUGCAAACCGUGAGGAAGGUGGGGAUGACGUCAAAUCAUCACGGCCCUUACGUCCUGGGCCACACACGUGCUACAAUGGUAGGGACAGAGAGCAGCCACUUAGCGAUAAGGAGCGWAUCUAUAAACCCUAUCUCAGUUCGGAUUGGAGUCUGCAACUCGACUCCAUGAAGCUGGAAUCGCUAGUAAUCGGAUAUCAGCCAUGAUCCGGUGAAUACGUUCCCGGGCCUUGUACACACCGCCCGUCAAGCCAUGGAAGCUGGGGGUACC
rnacentral:rRNA from 1 species